GUUGCACUUUCUCAUCAUUUAUCACAUCACUAAUGCUUUAGCUCUGCAUGAACAAUAACACUAUUGAGGCAACCUUGAUUAAAUCCCAUGAAUGCAAAUCAACUUGUUUCCUCAAUCACCCACCUCCUCUAACAUUAAUUCAGGCACAACAACAAUGGCGUUCGCAUUCACAUAAAAGUUUAUGUUACAAGCUUCACGUUAUGAUGAGUAGGCAGCACUCAGUGACUUCAUGUGUUUGGAUGCAUCAUGUGCUCGCAUAAAUGAAACGACGAAAUUCCAGAGCUUCCCUUGUGGGCUGACUGACUUGGGUUCACACGUUCAUAUUCAACAUGGAUGUAAAAUUUCUUGACUUCGAUCGUUGACAAGGUGAAUCACGUUGAGGUUUUCUUUUAUUCCUUUUUCUUUAGUUCUGUAGCUUCUAAUUAAAAUUAAUUUGUUUAUAUGAAUGAUGACAUUUAUGGGCCACAAUUUUUUUGAGCUUUUUGUGCCCUAGCAAGAAAGUUUCUUUGGUGCGAGGUCAACACGAAUAAGAGCUUCCCGGACAGAAAGCAAGCUUGUUACUGAAAGUCGUUGCUCUUGCAUCAUCUGCCAUUACAAUAACUACCUCACUGCUGAAUCAUGGUCAAAGGAAACAUAGCCAACAACCCACUUGGAGAAUAUGCGACACUCGGGAGUAGUUGCAGAGCUGCAGUCUCAGAAUUCUAACCUCAUCAGGAUAUAUAACGAUUCCAAGCGGAUCAGUGGAGAAUCAGUGUGAAACUUUAGAAAACUGGGCAUGGUCUCAUAUACUUUUGCCAUGAAAUUAUAUCUGUCUCCCUAUUGUUGAUGUAUCUUUGGUCAUUGAUUUAUCUUGGCUAUUCACUUUUUUGUGUCAGCUUUGUGUGCUGAUCUUGAAGACAUCAUCUUCACUUGCUCAUAACGUCAUUUAAUUAAUGGUAAACUAAUUGAAUUGGUUUUUCGUGCAGGGACAGUUCCAUACAUGGAAAAGUUAAGUGCUUCAUGGUCAUACAGUUUGUAUUGAUGUUGGCUAAUGUAAAGACUGGAGGCAGCUAUACUUU